rnacentral:sRNA from 1 species
GCCAGGUGUGGUGGUGCACACCUGUAAUCCCAGAUACUUGGGAGGCUGAGGCAGAGGGAUUCCAAAUUAUAAGCCAGGCUGGACAACUUAGCAGGAUUCUAUCUCAA